ACUUAUUAGGAACAAAAUGUUAUAAUAAUAACAAUAAAUAAGGUCCAAUAGUCACUUUCAAAAAAUUUGUGAUCAGCCAGAAGGAAACAAUUAGAUAAACCCCGAACGGAACAAAACAGCCUCUUCAAAAAGUCACUGUCAUGGGAAGAAAAAAGAAAAGGUCGAUGUCGUCCUUCUCUGCCUGCCUCACUGACCAUUUCCUCGUGCUCUCUACACUCCCCAAACUCCUGAGAUACACCAACUCCUGCUGCUCACCCCUGGGCUCUGAACCUGCUGCUUCUCUGCCUGCCGGCCUCUGCCCCAGACCUUCACCCAGUGACUCAUUCAGCUCCAUACAAGAUGAAUUGGAAUUGGCUGAAAACAGCACCAGGCCUCCUUUGGUUAUGUUCAUCUUGGUUUCUAAUUCAGCUGGCGCCACACAAAACAUCAAAACCUUCUUGGUUUUCCAAUUCUCAGAGC